rnacentral:rRNA from 1 species
UACGGAGGGGGCUAGCGUUACUCGGAAUUAUUGGGCGUAAAGGGCGCGUAGGCGGCCCGGUAAGUCAAAGGUGAAAUCCCUCGGCUCAACUGAGGAACUGCCUUUGAAACUGUCGGGCUUGAGGCCGGGAGGGGGUAGCGGAAUUCCCAGUGUAGCGGUGAAAUGCGUAGAUAUUGGGAGGAACACCGGUGGCGAAGGCGGCUACCUGGACCGGUUCUGACGCUGAUGCGCGAAAGCGUGGGUAGCAAACAGG